rnacentral:misc_RNA from 1 species
CGCGGUGUCGACGGUCUCCGGGUGGUGGACUGCUCGGUGAUGCCGACGAUGGUCGCCGGAAAUCUCAACGGGCCGGUCAUGGCGAUGGCUUGGCGCGCAGCCGAUUGCAUCCUGCAGGACCGCUAGCGGGUCAGUGCGCUCCUGGCGCGCCGAUGGACUGGUCGGUACCGGCCAGUUCGUCUCCGGCGUUCUGUUCCGACGCCGCCUUCGCCGCAGCCUCAUCCUCGGUGGCCUUCUCGGCCUGACCUUCCGGGCUGGCAAGUGAGUUCCCCGGCG